ensembl:lncRNA
GCUGUUAGUCUAUCAGGCCGUUGGUCCAUCAGGCCAUUGGUCCAUCACUGUUCCAUCAGGCCGUUGGUCCAUCAGGCCCCUGAUCCAUCAGGCCGUUGGUCCAUCUGGCCCCUGGUCCAUCAGGCCGUUGGUCCAUCUGGCCCCUGGUCCAUCAGGCCUCUGUUCCAUCAGGCCAUUGGUCCAUCAGGCCUCUGGUCCAUCAGGCCAUGGCUUGCUGGACCUUGAGGAGCUCCAGAUCCCUGCUCGUGCCUGCUGCUGUCACUGGGUCCUUGUGGAAUAUCUCCCGCCUUCCUCCCGUGCCAGGGAGCCCAGGAUUCUCUCAGUGUCCCGAGCUUGGGAGGGAGUCUCCCUCUGAGCUCUGAGACAGUCACCCCUUUCCAUGGGGGAGACAAGUGUCUGGGGGCCUGUGAAGGCGGCCCCGAGGAAGCAGGGUCUGUGUGGCUCCUUUUCAGGGAUGCCUGCUCCGGGCUGCUGUUCGGUGUUGGGUUGGGCCCGUGGGCCGCCACAGUCAUCCCCCCCACUAUCCCUUCCCUUCCCCACCUGCAGCCUGCUGUGUGUGCCAAUGACUUUGGGGAUCCUCCGUGGCUCCAGCUGAGGGGAGCCGAGCUCAUUGAUCCUGAUGAAGGGGCUGAGGGCUGGGACCCUCCGUGCCAGCGAACUGCCCAUUCGACAAGGAGCCAAAGGGGCCUCUGCCAGCCCCUUCCCUGCUCCGGCUCUCAUCCCCAAGAACCUGCCGUGUCCUCCCGGUCUUGUCUCCUUCAGCCCAAACAUGGCCAGCUCCUUCUGUGUCUUCAUGCGCAAUGGGAGCCGGGCCCUGUCCGUCCUGGCUGCCUCCUCCCAGGGUUCUCCCCUCUGCAAGGGGACCUGUGAGAUGGUCUCCACUCCCUGGACAGGGGCAGCCUCCUCCCCUCCCUGUCCAAACUAAUCAGCUAUGGUGCCCAGGAGCCAUGGCGCCCCAGGGUGUGUUCCAUGCAAGGAAACUGAGGUCCACUCGAGGUCCUGCAGAGAUGGGCCAGCUGCUCAGCUUGACUUCCUGCAUUAAGCACAGUGCCUGGCAUACAGUUGGUGCUUAAUAAAUGCUUAGCCCACUUGGGCCACAGACCUUCAAUCUAGAGUGAAACGUUUCUCUCCCUCCUCUAGGGAAUUAGGGUAAGAGGUCAGGUUCUCCUCCCCUCUCCUUUCUCCCCCCUCUCCUCUCCUUUCUCCCCCAUCCCCUCUCCUUUCUCCCCCAUCCCCUCUCAUUUCUCCUCCCUCGCCUCUCUUCCUUCCCUCCCUCUCUCUGCCAGGUCUCAGGCUAACUUCAGCAAGUGGCCACAGUGGGGGUGGGGGAGGUCACAGCACAAGUCGGGAAGCUCGGGAGCAGCGGGGGCCUAGCCCUCGGCACCCUGGGGUGCUCUGGGACACCAAAGGCCCUGUGCUGGAGCAGCGAGGUAAGGGGCCGGACUUAGGCUGACUGUCCAUCAGGGUGUGGUCCCCUUCCCCUCAGGCACACGCCCUCAGCCGCCCUCCCUAAGCUUUGCAGCUAUGAUCUCAUUUGAUCCUCAGUGACCUUGGGAGGGAGGGGCUAUUAUGAUCCCCAUUUUACAGAUAAGGAAACUGAGGCGGGCAGUGAAGUGACCUAUCCGGGGUCACUCGGCCAGGAUGUCUGAGGCUGGAUUUGCUAGCUGGCAGGGGAGGAGCUGCGUGUGCUGGGGCCGGGGGAGGGACUGAGGGGUGGGGGAGGGGCCGAGGGGCCGAGGCUCCUCUGGGAGUUCCCUGGCCGGUUCCCAGGGACAUCCUUGGGACUGUGCACCCCGUGGGCCUCCAUUCUCCCUGGGGAAGCUGGGCUGGACCCCUUUCCCUUCUCCCCCCUCCUGCUUGGCGGUGAUGGGGCCUUCCCCACCCCCCCCUUUCCCUUGGUCUUCUCUGGCUCUGAGGAAGCCCCCGUUUCAUCACCCGGAGCAGAAGAGCGGGGAGGGGGGCCCGAGGGGGGAGCAAAGAGAGACCGGAGGCCGUUAUCCCGGGCUCCCUGCGGACAGCAGUGGGGAAAGCCGGCCAAAGGCAGGGCCCUGCGGGGAGGCCCCCGGCCCCUUGGUCUCCCAGAGCGCCCCAGAGGGUGGCGCGGCGCCCGCCAUCCCGGGAGGAAAGGAGAAAGGGCCGGGAGUGCGAGCGCCUUCCGGGGAGACUCCAGCCCUAGAACUCGGGAGAGCCGCUGGCAAGAGGAGGCGUCCCCGCAGGUGCGGCCGGAGGGAGCCGGAAUCCCGAGCCUCGGGCCCAGGGCAGGGGCUAUACCAGGAGGAACACCACCGGUCAGGAGGGCGGUGCCCUGGGGAAGCAGGGCCCAGAGCUAAGCCCUACAGAUGCCGAAUGUGAGAGCGGCUUCCGGAGCGGCUCCCACCUCCUGGAGCACGGGAGGAUUCACACCGGACCAAGCCCUGCACGGGCCGCGAGGCUCCGCCCCCAGCGCCACCCUCGCCGCGCCCCGGAGGCUCCGCCCCGACGGGGCCCCGCGCCCUCCGGCAGCGAGGGAGAGCCCAGCUCGGACCUCCGUGCGCACCGGAGGAGUCACGGCGGCGAGAGACAGAAGCAGCUUCUCGUGGAGCUCGGCCCCGGGCGGCCACGAGAGGACGCGCAGCGGGGACAGCCCCGACGGGGGCGGGGAGGGGCCCGAGGCGGGUGGUGAGGGCGAGGAGGCAUUCAAGGGAGCUUGAACCUGAGCCAGCAACUGAGGGUGCCCACGGGGAGAAGCCCUACGGCUGAGGGAGUGUGGGCGCGCCUUCACUUGUAGGAUGGCCCUCGUCACCCACUGGAGGACCCACAGCGAGGAGAAGCCCCUGCCGGGUGGGGAGUGCGGAGAGGCCCCGGCGGGGGGAGUGCGGGGAGGUGCCGGGGGGGGUGGGGAGUGCGGGGACGUGGGCAGUGAGGGCCAGAGCUCCCGCCUGACUCGGCCCUGGAGCGUUCACAUUGUGCGCUCAGUGUGGGAAGGGACUUCACCCCGAUGGGCUCCAGCUCCGGGCCAGUGGAAAGGGGGCUGGCCAGACUUCUCUCUUCGUCUAGCCUCACUCCUGCAUCCAGGCAGCUCCCGCCAAGGGCUCUUGCCUGCUCUUGGUGCUGGGUCCCAGCCCCUAAAGCCUUUGGCUCCUGGAGGGACCCCGCCCCCCCUUCCCAAUCCCUCCCCCUCUUCCAGUUUCCUUUUUUCCGCCUACAAAUCUGCCAGAGUCCUCCCUCCGGUUGCCCGGGUCAUGGGGCUGGCCCGAGUCAUGGCACAGUCCCGGGCCCCCACUUAGCCCAUCGUCACUCCUAUAAGUCAACCCUUCCAACCCCCCCCCCCCACUGCCAACCAGCCAAAUGCUGCCAUUUCUCUAAACUGCAAAGCUGAGUCACCAGUGACCUCCCCUCUCAGGCCUCCCCUUGAGCUCCCUCAGGACUAAAAGGCCCUCCUGCUGUGGCCCUGUGCUGGGACAUCAACCCCACUGCUCCCUCACUGAGGUCUCCUCCUUGCCUCUGUCUUCUAGGGCCCCUCCUCCCUGCCCUUCCCUACCUCUGGGAGCUUCAUCUCAUGGCCUGUCCAAUGAGGAUCUGGCUCUGUGGGAGCAAGCUGAGGUUAGACCUCCCUGCUGUGUCACUGGCAGGCAGCCCACCAACCUCAGUCUGCUUCUGCAUCUGUGGCCACUCGCUCCUCUGGGUGCCAGGCUGUUUGUCCUCCCCUUCCAGAUGUCCCAUCCGGGGCAGACUGGCACGGAGCCUUUCUUGGAAGCACUUCCCCCAUUCCCUCCCUUCUGGGGACAGGAUUCCUAGGCCCUUGGGGGGGGGGGCUUUCCUACUAGAUGCUCCUGGCUGAGCCCUCUGAUGCCCUUAGGUGGCCUCCUCUGCCCAGGGCCAGCCUGGUCAUGUCCUGGUGACUCCAUGGGCCAUGAUGGAGUUCAUGACUUGCUGUCCUGGAAAGGGGAGGGUGGAGAAGGGUUGCCUUCCAAAGAAGGGGCUGGCCCUUCACCCAGUGGGGCUAGCACCCAGUGGUGACCGCCCUCCAGACUCCCCACGCUCCUGGCCCUGCCUUGGUGGGGCACCCCUCCCCCUCAAAUCCUUCCUGUCCUGCUGGAAUCCCUCUCCCUGGGAGCCUCCCCCCCCCCCUUUCUAAAGCACCUUGUGGAGGAGAUGGCAAGGUGUUGUUUGUGUGAGGAGGCCCAGGGAGAGGCAGUCAAGCUUAUCUGUUGGGGCUCCUGGCAAGGAGGUGGGCGGCAAUGUCGUUUCUCCUCCUCCCCUUCAGACUGGUAGCAGAGGUUCAAUGUGGCACAAGGGGGAACUUGCCCAGACUACAGGCAGAGGGAAAGAGAAGGGCGCACCAACGGCUCCCUCCCUGUCCUCUGGGACAGGCCAGUCUCUGCCUGUGGGGUUCCCCAGCCUCAGCUUUUCUGCUUUGGUCACUGAUGGGUGGAGUCGCCUUCCCCAGAUGUUCCCCUUGUGACCCCAGAUGGAGAUCACCUUGGUAACUUGGUCAGUUCUCCCCCAUAAUACCACUUUUUAAGUGGUCUUUUUUUAAUAAAUGGAUUAGAUUUUAUUAGUUGCCCAUAAAAAGGCAUAAAGUAAAUGUCCACUUGAGAAAUGAGGCAAGCUUCCUAGACGACCUGUGGCAGUGGUUAUUAUUGAUAAAUUGUAUACCAAAUAUCCAUGAGCAAUUGUUAAUUUGUUUUAUAUUUAGUACUAGCAACUAAAUUUUUUUUAAAGGUUUUUUAUUUAGGAAACAUAUGCAUAGGUAAUUUUUCAACACUAACCCUUGCAAAGGGUCCCCUACUUAUCUCCUUCUUCCCACCCCCUCCCCUAGAUGGCAGGUAGUCCAUUACAUGUUAAAUAUGUUAAAAUAUAUGUUAAAUCCAAUAUAUGUAUACAUAUUUAUACAGUUAUCUUGUGCAGUGUGGUCUCUUUUUUUUAUUAUUUUUAUAGUAACUUUUUAUUGACAGAACCCAUGCCAGGGUAAUUUUUUUUACAACAUUAUCCCUUGCACUCACUUCUGUUCCAUUUUUUCCCUCCCACCCUCCACCCCCUCCCCUAGAUGGCAAGCAGUCCUAUAUAUGUUGAAUAUGUCCUAGUAUAUCCUAGAUACAAUGUAUGUGUGCAGAUCCAAACAGUUUUCUUGUUGCACAGGGAGAAUUGGAUUCAGAAGGUAGAAAAUAACCCGGGAAGAAAAACAAAAAUGCAAACAGUUUACAUUCAUUUCCCAGUGUUUUUUUCUUUGGUUGUAGCUGCUUCUGUCCAUCAUUGAUCAAUUGAAACUGAAUUAAGGUCUCUUUGUCAAAGAAAUCCACUUCCAUCAGAUUACAUCUUCAUACAGUAUCGUUGUUGACCUAUAUAAUGAUCUCUUGGUUCUGCUCAUUUCACUUAGCAUCAGUUCAUAUAAUUCUCUCCAAGCCUCUCUGUAUUCAUCCGGGCAGAGUGGUCUUGAGGAAUAUAGAAUUCUAGGACUUAGAAGUGUUGCACCCCACUAUUGAAUUCUCAGAAACUUUGAUAUCACUGACCAACAGAUUAUCUGAUCGUCAGCAUUGUUUGUGGCACUCCCAAGGUCCAGUAGCAGGUAUUGAUAUGUCCUCCAUAAGAGCUACAUCUCAUUACUCUCAUUCCCGAGAUCCAACAGACAGUCAAGGUCUGUUGAUUUCACCUCUGCACCAUCUCUGGUCCAUUUCACCUCUGCAGUUCUCUGGUUGAUUUCAUUUCUGCACCAUCUCUAGUCCAUUUCGCCUCCGCACAAUCUCUGGUCCAUGUCACUCCUGCACCAUCUCUGGUCCAUGUCACUUCUGCAUCAUCUCUGACCCAUUUCACCUCUGCAGCUUCUCUGGUCCCUCUCAACUCUGCACUAAAUCUGGUCCCUUUUAACUCUGCAGCAUUUCUGGGCCAUGUCACCUUUGUACCAUCGUUGGCCUAUUUCACUUCUGGUCCAUCUCUGGUCCCUGGCACUUCUACAAUGUCUCUGGUCCAUUUCAUCUUUAGUCCAUUUCACCUCUGCAGCUUCUCUGGUCUCUUAACUCUGCAGCAUCUCUGGGCCAUCUCACCUUUGUACCAUCUCUGGUCCAUGUCACUUCAGCAUCUGUGGUCUAUUUCAUCUCUGCAACAUCUCCAAUCCAUAUCACCUCUGCUUCCCCCCUGGAUUGUUUCACCUCUGCAGCAUCUCUGGUCCAUUUCACCUCUCCACCAUCUCUGGUCCAUUUCACUUUUGCAGCAUCUCCAGUCCAUGUCACAUCUGCACCGUCUCCAGUCCAUGUCACAUCUGCACCGUCUCUGGUCCAUUUCACCUCUGCACCGUCUCUGGUCCAUGUCACUUUUUCAGUGUCUCUGGUCCAUUUCACUUUUGAUACAGCUCUGGUCCAUUUCAUCUGUGCACCAUUUCUUGUCCAUUUUACCACUGCAGCAUCUCUGGCCCAUUUCAUCUCUGCACCUUCUCUUGUCCAUGUUAUAUCUGCAGCAAUUCUCCGAAUAUCCCCUUUUCUCCUCUGACACCGUCACUUCCUUACUGCAGGAUCUUAUCACCUCACAGCUAUGUAAUGUGAUGCUAGUGGAUGGCAAUAGGGGCUGAUCUCGGGGAAUGGGUCUCUCUCUCCAGACCAUUCCUCAUUCUGCCACUAAAGUGAUUUUCCUAAAGCACAGAUCUGACGUCAUUAUCCACCCUCACUCAACAAACUCAAGUGGAUCCCCAUAAUUUCUAGGAGUAAAUAGGUAAUGCUCUGUUUGGCAUUAAAAGCUCUUAAUAAUCCAGCAGAAUUUUACACCUCACUCCCCUACAGUAUUCUUUAGGCAUGACAGCUCCAGGCUGUUCUCUCCAUUCAGUGCCCUGUGCCUGGCAUGCUUUCCCUCCUCGACUCUAUUGAUGUCCCUGGCUUCCAAGUCCCAGUUAAACUCCCAGUUUCUACAGAAAGCCUUCCAGGGCUUUUCCUGUGUUAAUGACUUCCUAUUACUCUGUAAAUUACUUUGGUUUUUAACUAUUUGCAGGCUCUCCCCCUUCAGACUGGACUCCUACAUGGCAGGGACCAACUUUUGCCUCUUUUUUGUAUCCCCAGCAUUUAGCACAGUGAUUGGCACGUAAUAGAUGUUUAAUGUUUUGACUAAUCAUUGUUGUCAAUAUUUGAUUUCAUACAGAUCCUGGCUUAGUGUAGCAGUUUCAGGAUACUAAAGUCUUCAAAAAGAGUCAAGACCAGCAUGGGAACCCAAGAACGAGAAAAAUGAGGCUUUAGGGGAGCUCCCAAGGAAGGAAAAUCAGAUGGUCUGGAGCCGCCAAAGGAAGAGAAAGGGAUUAUUCUUAGAUGUCUAUCAUUAUAGUUCUACCAGCUUUCCUGAUUGCCAGUUAAAAUGAGCAGUCUGAUUUCACAAAAGCCUGGGAAGACUUACAUGACCUGAUGCUGAAUGAAGUGAGCGGAACCAAG